CAGGCCUUUGGUGGAACCACAUCAGAUGCCCCAGAGUGUUAGAUGCGUUUGUCUCAUUUGCACAACGUGAUUUGUAAUGAUUGAGUGUCCAACAGACACUUUAGGUAAAUAAGUAAGGGUUCACCAACUGGCUAUAAAAUCACAGGACCGAGGCCUUUAUCUUGGCUACAUAGCAACAACCACCGAUACCUGACACUUUAGGUAAAUAAGUAACUGGCUAUAAAUCACAGGACUGAGGCAUUGAUCUUGGCCAUAUAGCAUCAACCAAUGAUACCUGCCCUUAACAAUCGAAAGACAUGGAGAUUACCACUAACGUGUUUUCCAAUGGCACGGAAUCUGCCUGACGUAAUGGGUCAUCAACCCAAUGUCUGGGCCAUAGAUACUGGAUUUCCGUUGCAAUAAGUGACCUUUUGUGUAUCUUCAUUGGACAACCUGUGAUUGCAAAACUGCUAUGGACCGCCUUUCACUCAAAGAAGACGGACGUCCUCAAUAUCAAUUUGGGAGGGCCACUGACUUUAUCCUUCAUCUGUUUGGAGCGGUACAUUGCUGUGGUCCAUCCCACCUUCUAUCCACUGUUGAAGAAGUACAGAUGUAGGGAGGGUUGUGCUCUGUCAAUGUGGUUUCUAGUGCUGCCCACUGCCACGAUUAAAUAUUUUUUAAUUGAAUUCAAAAUUAACAAUCAGAUUGUAAUAGACUACAUGGUGUACACUGUAAUGUUCCUCAUGCUGAUUGUAAUAGCAUGGUGCAGCCACGCUAUUCUGAAGGCACUCAGAACCUCAGGGCCUGCGACUGAUAAAUUACAUCCUGCCAAAAAGCGAGCUUUUCAAACAGUCCGUGCCAUUGCAAUCAUUGCAUCGAUGUGUUACAUUCCAGUUGGUGGAUUAAUUUCAUACACAAUGAUAAAAGGAAAUGAAACAAUUUGUUCAACAAUUCCUGCCAUCCUAUUCCUGGUAACGAUUGCUAGUGUUGCGCAUCCCAUAUUUUACCUGUCAACUACAGGGAACCUGCCUUGCCUAAUCAUCACAGAUUCCAUAAGAAACUGGCGUCAUGUGGCUCAGGUGGUGGAGCGGGUCGGCUAGUAACCGGCGGGUCGCUAGUUCGAUCCCCGGCUCCACCUAGCCAAGUGUCGAGGUGUCCC
ensembl:lncRNA